UCGGGAAUUUUGGGCAAUGGGCGAAAGCCUGACCCAGCAACGCCGCGUGAGGGAUGAAGUAUUUCGGUAUGUAAACCUCGAAAGAAUGGGAAGAAUAAAUGACGGUACCAUUUAUAAGCUCCGGCUAACUACGUGCCAGCAGCCGCGGUCAUACGUAGGGAGCAAGCGUUGUUCGGAUUUACUGGGCGUAAAGGGCGCGUAGGCGGCGUGGUAAGUCACUUGUGAAAUCUCUGAGCUUAACUCAGAACGGCCAAGUGAUACUGCUGUGCUAGAGUGCGGAAGAGGCUACCGGAAUUCUUGGUGUAGCGGUGAAAUGCGUAAAUAUCAAGAGGAACACCUGAGGCGAAGGCGGGUUGCUGGGCCGACACUGACGCUGAUGCGCGAAAGCCAGGGGAGCAAACG
rnacentral:rRNA from 1 species